UCAAGGAGAUAUAUUACUUAGUGGCGGACGGGUGAGUAACGCGUGAGCAAUCUGCCUUUCAGAGGGGGAUAACAGUUUGAAAAGACUGCUAAUACCGCAUAACGUGCUUAGAGGACAUCCUCUGAGUACCAAAGGAGAAAUCCGCUGAAAGAUGAGCUCGCGUCCGAUUAGAUAGUUGGUGAGGUAACGGCUCACCAAGUCGACGAUCGGUAGCCGGACUGAGAGGUUGAACGGCCACAUUGGGACUGAGACACGGCCCAGACUCC
rnacentral:rRNA from 1 species